UAGGGAAUCUUCGGCAAUGGACCAAAGUCUGACCGAGCAACGCCGCGUGAGUGAAGAAGGUUUUCGGAUCGUAAAACUCUGUUGUUAGAGAAGAACAAGGACGUUAGUAACUGAACGUCCCCUGACGGUAUCUAACCAGAAAGCCACGGCUAACUACGUGCCAGCAGCCGCGGUAAUACGUAGGUGGCAAGCGUUGUCCGGAUUUAUUGGGCGUAAAGCGAGCGCAGGCGGUUUCUUAAGUCUGAUGUGAAAGCCCCCGGCUCAACCGGGGAGGGUCAUUGGAAACUGGGAGACUUGAGUGCAGAAGAGGAGAGUGGAAUUCCAUGUGUAGCGGUGAAAUGCGUAGAUAUAUGGAGGAACACCAGUGGCGAAGGCGGCUCUCUGGUCUGUAACUGACGCUGAGGCUCGAAAGCGUGGGGAGCAAACAGG
rnacentral:rRNA from 1 species